rnacentral:lncRNA from 1 species
UUCUGACUUAUGUCAAAUGGCAUAGAAGUUGCAGCUUAUUUCCACAGAAGGCAUCACUAUAUGAGUGACAUCUCCGGAGAUGACCAAAUUUUAUGGAUGCCAAUGGAAUCACCAUGCCAUGGCAACUGAUUUAAAGAUAAGCAUCAUAUACAAGUCGUGUUUUCCACAGAGCGAUAUGUACUUCCUCACUUCCGGUAGUACCUUUGACAACAUGACAGUCUUCAGAUGAAGCUAUGUCUGGGGUGAGCAGCUGGUGAGGUAGAGCAGGGUGAGCCC